rnacentral:misc_RNA from 1 species
GAUGAAGAACGCAGCGAAAUGCGAUAAGUAGUGUGAAUUGCAGAAUUCAGUGAAUCAUCGAAUCUUUGAACGCACAUUGCGCCCUUUGGUAUUCCUUAGGGCAUGCCUGUUCGAGCGUCAUUUAAACCUUCAAGCCCUGCUUGGUGUUGGGUGCCUGUCCCGCCCCCGCGCGUGGACUCACCUCAAAUCCAUUGGCGGCCCCCGCAAGGCCACGAGCGCAGCAGAAACGCAAACUCGUGUGCCCGGCGGGCGGCUCCCAGAAGCUACACCCACAAGUUUGACCUCGGAUCAGGUAGGGAUACCCGCUGAACUUAAGCAUAUCAAUAAGCGGAGGA